AUAGAUCAAUGGUUAAUCUGGAGUCUCAUAAAGUGAUUGUUGGUAACUUCUUGGACAGGCUGAAAAUCCUUGUGUCGUCGGUUCGAUUCCGGCUCUGGCCA
rnacentral:tRNA from 1 species